GAUGUGGUCCAAUGAAUACAGGCUGUUUAAACAGGCAGUCAGUUCUGAUCUUUUGACACUAAUUGGUAUUUUUUGUAUUUUUAUUUUGACCAGUCAGAUCAGAUCCUUUGCCAAUAAAAAGUCAAAAGAUCAGAAUUGGGCUGCCUGUGUAAACUCAGACAUACAGUCAUAUAUACAGUCAUAUGUACAGAUUAUUAGGUAUAUCCAUCUAGUACCAGGUCAGACCCCCCUUUGCUGCCAGAACAGCCUAACUUCUUUGGGGUGUGGAAUCGUUGCUAACGUGUGAGACAGGAAGACAUUCCCCCCACCAUUACAUCCCCGCCCCCAGUCUGUACUGUUGACACCAGGCAGGAUGGGGCCAUGGAUCCCCCCCACCAUUACACCCCCAGUCUGUACCGUUGACACCAGGCAGGAUGGGGCCAUGGAUCCCCCCACCAUUACACCCCCAGUCUGUACCGUUGACACCAGGCAGGAUGGGGCCAUGGAC
ensembl:lncRNA